UACGUAGGGGGCAAGCGUUGUCCGGAUUUACUGGGCGUAAAGAGCGCGCAGGCGGUCGUUCAAGUCGAGUGUGAAAGCCCCCGGCUCAACUGGGGAGGGUCAUUCGAUACUGAUCGACUCGAAGGCAGGAGAGGGAAGUGGAAUUCCGGGUGUAGUGGUGAAAUGCGUAGAUAUCCGGAGGAACACCAGUGGCGAAGGCGGACUUCCUGGCCUGUUCUUGACGCUGAGGCGCGAAAGCUGGGGGAGCAAACGGG
rnacentral:rRNA from 1 species